GAUGAACGCUAGCUACAGGCUUAACACAUGCAAGUCGAGGGGAAACGACAUCGAAAGCUUGCUUUUGAUGGGCGUCGACCGGCGCACGGGUGAGUAACGCGUAUCCAACCUGCCCAUCACUUGGGAAUAACCUUGCGAAAGUAAGACUAAUACCCAAUGAUAUCCCACGAAGGCAUCGGAAUGGGAUUAAAGAUUUAUCGGUGAUGGAUGGGGAUGCGUCUGAUUAGCUUGUUGGCGGGGUAACGGCCCACCAAGGCAACGAUCAGUAGGGGUUCUGAGAGGAAGGUCCCCCACAUUGGAACUGAGACACGGUCCAAACUCCUACGGGAGGCAGCAGUGAGGAAUAGUGGUCAAUGGGCGAGAGCCUGAACCAGCCAAGUAGCGUGCAGGAAGACGGCCCUAUGGGUUGUAAACUGCUUUUAUAAGGGAAUAAAGUGGGUCACGUGUGACUUUUUGCAUGUACCUUAUGAAUAAGGACCGGCUAAUUCCGU
rnacentral:rRNA from 1 species